rnacentral:rRNA from 1 species
UUCACCCUACGGACGCAGCAGUGAGGAAUAUUGGUCAAUGGGCGCGAGCCUGAACCAGCCAAGUAGCGUGAAGGAUGACUGCCCUACGGGUUGUAAACUUCUUUUAUAAAGGAAUAAAGUGAGGCACGUGUGCCUUUUUGUAUGUACUUUAUGAAUAAGGAUCGGCUAACUCCGUGCCAGCAGCCGCGGUAAUACGGAGGAUCCGAGCGUUAUCCGGAUUUAUUGGGUUUAAAGGGAGCGUAGAUGGGUUGUUAAGUCAGUUGUGAAAGUUUGCGGCUCAACCGUAAAAUUGCAAUUGAUACUGG